GACAAUCGAGGGGAGUUUAUUGAUUUUGGGGUUUAUUAAGAAAUUGUUUGGGAGGGUGUGAGUUUAAUUGGCACUCUAAGCAACUAUAAUCUGAUUUAGAGUAAUUCGACUAUCAAUUGCGAAACGGUUAAUGAGUUUCUGUUAGUUCAGUACAUUUGAGUUUGGGAACAUCUUGGUGUUUAGUUUCUUAUUUUGUGGACAUCUGGGUAUUUUGUAAUUGGAGUUGUAUGUGCACAGUACAAAGUUUAAUCCUGUGUAUGUUCUGCACUUGUGAUUGCAGCAUGUGUAGUGUCCUUUGAUGAGCACGAGUUGCGUCCUAGUGUCCUGCAUUUGUUUGUUGGGGGGUUUAUUUUUUGUCCCACACCUUACUUUGAAGCAAAUGAUAUGCAGUACUUGCUUGUAUCAUGAUUCUGAUCAGACAUCACAUUAACGUGCGGCAAAUGAAUACCGUCCUGCGACUGAAUUAUUUUUUCGUACCUCCAAACAGAUGGAUGAAGGGGUGAAAACAAAUUAUAAGGGGAUAGAAGGAAUGCAAGACACGAUUGCAGUUUGAAUUCCUGAAAAAUCUCAUCUUGUUGUAAUCUCCGCAUGACUCGCGCUGUCCGCACAGACAGUACAAAACUUUUACAAUUUGCCGCUAGUUGUAUAAACUUAAAUAUAUUAUAUUUUUAAAAAAAAACAAAACAGUUGUAAUGCAUUCCGUUGGAUCCUUUUAAAAUGGAGGGCCUAGAUUUGGACUCCAAGACUCCAAGAAAAUAUAGGAUCCCAAAUAACUUUUGUCUAUAUAUAUAGUCAGUUUAUAUAUAUUAGGGUUUGUCCAUUUUUAAGUAAUCGGGAGAAAAUAUAGUCGGUUGAAUAAAAUAAUUUAAUUAAAAUUCAAUCCAUUAAUACUAAAAUACUAAUAAAAUGAUUUUAAAAUUUAAAUUAUAAAUAAUAAAUUAUGAGGUAUAUACCGCCCGUGCUUCGCACGGGUUAAAGGCUAGUAUAUAUAAUAAGCGUAAGGGAGAUAAUUUGGUCGCAUGGUCCUAUUGUCCAAAAGCUUAUCAUCCGUUAUAUCGUAUAUUGAACAAAUAAGCACCGUUAGAUUAGAACAAAAUUAAAUUCUGUUCUAUAAGGAAACUGACAUUUACUUGCAUGUUUGUAAUUCCUUUUUUAAUCCAAAACAAAUUCUGUCUUUCAUGUGUUUUUGGUUUUUUUUUUAAUCCAAAAUACAUACUUCCUACAAAUUUUAAUUGUAGAAUCUUACAAAUCACAUCGUCACAAAAUUAUUUUUAUCCCAUCGGAUCGCAUAUUGAACAAAUAAGCACCGUUAGAUUAGAAUAAAAUUUACUUCUGUUCCAUAAGACAACUGAUAUUUACUUGCAUGUUUAUAAUUCUUUUUCUGAAUCAAAAACAAAUUCUGUAUUUCACAUGUUUAUGAUUUUUUUUAAUCCAAAAUAAUUAAUAAGUCCGAUUUAUGUGAGGAACUAAUACAAAUUUUUUUUAUUAAUCCAAAACAAAUUCUACCAUCUUAUUGCAUGUUUAUGAUUCAUCUUCUUAAUUCAAAACAAAUUGUGUUUAUCAAUUUUAAUCUCGAACCAUUAAAAAUUUUAGAAAAAUAUUUAAAUCACAUUAUAAUAAUUCUAAUAUAAAAUACAUUUGUAAAUAUAAUCUAAUAGGAGUUGACGUCACAUAUUCUACUUAAAAUAAUUUCAAAUUUGAUAGAAAGAAUUUAAUAGUUUGACAUGAUACAUAUAAUUUUAAUUUAUUAUUUAUAUAUUAAAUUUUUUCACACCAUUUAAAAUAUAUUUAAAAAGUUUAUAAAUAAACAAAAAGCUCCCGUGCCGGGCUAUAGGCUAAUUAUGAAAAUAGCUACAUCUAAUAUAACAUCAGCACUGGACUUGCUCUUAGGCGUAGUAUAGAAGAGGCUUAUAAUUUAAGCAUACUCCGCAAUUUCCUAAUUUUGACAUGCGUAAAUUCUUGUUGUCAAGUGCAGAGUGGCUAGCUACAUACUAACAAGCUAGGUUAGGUGUCUUGAGCUCCUCUGUUAUAAGUCCCUUUUAAACUUGCAUUUACAUCAUCGAUUUAUUUUCAAACAGAAAUCGGGCAGAUUCAUUUGACAUGUGAUCCAGCUUUUUGUAAAUCUGGCAAGUGUUUCAUGUAUAGCAGAUCCUUUCCUACUCAAAUUACGAAACUCGUUUGCUUUUGGUUAAGAACAUUGUCCCCAUAAACACUAACGGUAUGUAUUUUCAUAUAUUAAAUUUGGCUGAUAAAAAAAUAUAGUUGGCUUGUAAAUGAAAUCAGCCAAUAUUGCUAAUAAAAUGUACUAAUUUUUUUUUUUGAUUUAUUAAAUAAAUUCUAAUUAAUUUUUAAAGGGACUUUAUCAAUUAAUCUGAUUAAAAAUUUCAGAUUUAUCUUAAUAGCUCUCAAUAAAUCAUGAAUCAGUAAUCAUGCUUACGGAAGCAAUUACUGGAAUGAAGCUUUCUUUAUCCUUAAACUUGACAAGUGGAAUUGCUCCCAAAAAAUUACAGCAAUCCAGUACGUAUAGAGAUUCAAUUUAUUGAAAAGUCUCGUUAAAAUUUUAAAAUAAAUAUUUUAAAAUUUUAAUCAAUCAUAUACCAAACUACUGAAUAUGCUCUAUCGAAAAAAAUUUGAUAAAUCAUGAAUGAAUCAGUAAAUCAACCAAUUAAGUUCGUUUCCCCGAUUUUUACAACCAUACCGAUACUUGCAAAAUCACGGAUAAACUGCUUUAACUGAAACAGAAGAGAUUGUAUAAAGGUUUUCAGUCUUAGUCCCUCAUAAUAUUAUAAAGAAUCAGGGAAAAUCUGAUAGAAGUGUAAGCAACAUAAUCCAAACCAGAUCUGUCGUAGUCGCUAACAAUGAAACCAAAGUUUCAAAGAAAAAAUAUAAAACAAUAAAAAUAAAGAAAUGGGGGAUAUCCUCUCAGACAAAUGCCUCGUUUCGUCGUCAGGGUUGAAUGGAUAAAUCGGACUCGUCAUCUGUGUUCAUCAUCACUGAGAAUAUCCUCCCCGUAUAAUCAAAAUUAAUAAGAUAUGCAGUAAGUUACUACUAAAUUAAAAACACCAACAAUAAAAAAAAUGACAAAUCAAAUAACAAGAAGAAAAGAGAGAAGCUGCGAUGUGAUGGAAAUCUUUGCAGCAUAACCUUCAUUAUAUAGGCAGGCGUGAGGCGGCCAUCUCUCUUUAGGGUUUAAGGGUUUGUGAUUUUGUGCAAAUUACAAACAUACCCCUCUUUUUUGAAGGCUUGAGGCAUAAAAUCAGCCCGUAUAUUAAAAAGAAAAAUAAAUAAAUAAUUGUCCGUAAUUUUUUUUAUUCGAGCUAACAACUGCCUUGCACUCUUGCUUCUUGUUUCUCUUACCUUUUCUUCAUAAAAAUAAAUAGCUAUUUAAUUGAAAACAAUUGAUAUGCCAGAACAGUUAAAAUUAAUGGAAAAGAAGUUGCAAAUUCGGAUUUGAUGUUUAUUAAGGUAGGUAGUUUUUAUUUUUGAUAUAUUGUAAAAGGUAGUUUUGAAACUUUCUUCCGAUAUAUCCGAAACUAAAAAAAGUAAUUAUUAUUUUUAAUAUUUUUAAAAUUAAAAUCAUAAUAUAAAACUUUCUUCUAAUAAUUUUGACACUAAAAAAGGUAGGCAAAUUUUAUUGUUGAUAUUUUGAAAAAGAUAAUUCUAAAACUUGCUUCCAAUAUAUCCGAAACAAAAAAAAAAUUGAUUUAAAUGUUUGAUAUUUUUCAUUUAAAAAUUUUAAAAAAAUUAGAAAAAUAGAACAGAUAGGUACCACCUAAGCGCUCAUCGCUUCUCCUUUAUAUAAGUAUACUGGAUAUUGAUUAUAUUUAACCAAUUUCUAAAAUCUGUUAACAAAAAAUUUUAACAAUAUUUAUAGCCAUGUUGACAUUGCACGCUUGUGUUUGUCUAUCUUUUUGCCCAUCAAUUUAAUUAGUUAAUUAAAAAAUCCCAAUCAAUUUAGUCCAUAAAUUAAGGGUUGAUGCGAAGGAAUUUAGGCAACUAAUUUGAGAUGCCGUCAGGUGAUACUUGUUUAAAUUGGACUGUAUGCUCUAUAGUGUCUGGCUGUCUGCAAUCUACAAAAAUUUAGCUGAAAAAAAUGGUGUUGAUGUAGAACUAUUAAUUAUACACCAUGCCCAGGGAGGAAACAAGCGGAAAAUUUCAAGAUCUUUACGCAGAAGGCCUGGCCCAAGUUUGGAAGUUCUCAACUUAACAAUACUAGACGUAUCAUGUAGCUGU
rnacentral:lncRNA from 1 species